rnacentral:rRNA from 1 species
UCUGGUAAUGAUGGCAGAGAGGUAGAGGUCACACCCGUUCCCAUACCGAACACGGAAGUUAAGCUCUCUAGCGCCGAUGGUAGUUGGGACCUUGUCCCUGUGAGAGUAGGACGUUGCCAGGC